rnacentral:lncRNA from 1 species
GUAGGGGAAAAGUGGAUCCUUCUUCCUUAAGCUCAGGUAGUAAGAGGUGGGGCAGUACCACCAAGAAGUUUAAGAAGAACAAGUUCUAGAACAAGAUCAAGUCAGGUCUGGGAUUAGGAAGUGGCUCGAGCUCAGGUGCAGAGAAUGCAGUAUGUAAGAAAUGUGGGAGACCGCACAGAGGAGUAUGUCUGGUUGGGACAUCAGCCUGCUUCAGAUGUGGGCAGGAGGGACACAUGGCACGAGAGUGUCCUAGAGCAGCUUUUGUGACACAGU